UGCAUGGGGCAGGGGCAGCGCGUGGAGCUCCCUGGCUGCCCUUGUGCCUAGGAACCAGAGGGAUGUGCCGCUCGCUUCCGGGAGCCGUUCUGAGCCAGAGCAGAUUUUUGUCCACUCUGCCGGUGGGGCUUUGGAAACCAGCCAGGAACGAGUGUGCACAUCAGGACCUUCAGAUGUUAACCUAAGAACGGCCAGACUGGGUCAGACCAAAGGU